rnacentral:rRNA from 1 species
GAUGAACGCUGACAGAAUGCUUAACACAUGCAAGUCAACUUGAACUUCGGUUUGUUUGGCGGACGGGUGAGUAACGCGUACAGAACUUGCCUCACAGCUAGGGACAACAUUUGGAAACGAAUGCUAAUACCUGAUAUUAUGAUUAUAUGGCAUCGUUUAAUUAUCAAAGCUAUAUUCGCUGUGAGAGAGCUUUGCGUCCCAUUAGCUAGUUGGAGAGGUAACAGCUCACCAAGGCGAUGAUGGGUAGCCGGCCUGGGAGGGUGACCUGCCACAAGGGGAUGGAGACACGGCCCGUACUCAAACGGGGGGCAGGGGUGGGGAGUUUAGGAAAAGGGACCGAGAGUGUGAUCCAGCAAUUCUGUGUGCAAGAUGAAGUUUUUCGGAAUGUAAAGUGCUUUCAGUUGGGAAGAAAAAAAUGACGGUACCAACAGAAGAAGCGACGGCUAAAUACGUG